GAUCCUGGCUCAGGACGAACGCUGGCGGCGCGCCUAACACAUGCAAGUCGAACGGAGUUUACAGACGGAAGUUUUCGGAUGGAAGCUUGUAAACUUAGUGGCGGACGGGUGAGUAACACGUGAGCAACCUGCCUAUCAGAGGGGGAUAACGAUUGGAAACGAUCGCUAAUACCGCAUGACAUAGCGGAACCGCAUGGUUCUGUUAUCAAAGAUUUUAUCGCUGAUAGAUGGGCUCGCGUCCG
rnacentral:rRNA from 1 species